AAAAACAACAGACGAGAAAUGUUAUGAAUGUGGAAGUAAGAGGUGGGUGGAUAGACACCUUAGUGACAUUUUAUCAACUCACAAUGUCUAAACUGCAGAUUUUAAGUGUUUUUCUGACAGAGAGAUUAACUUUGGCUGCGCAGGAGAUUUUUAAGUCUGUGGAAGACAUGUUUUCAGAGUAUAAUGAGGAGAUUUGUCGCUCCAGACAGGAGAUUGAGCUGCUCAAGAGGAGACUGCAGCAGGCAGGAGUUCAGAUGGACUCUGAAACGCAGUCUUGCUCCUCUGAGACUCAAGGAAAGAAAUACAUCCAGACAUUUUCAGAGGAAUGGAGAUCUGAACAUGAUUUUAAGGACACUGAGAUGCAUAUGAAACUAGAAGUUUAUACACAGCAGGAGGAGAAUGAAGAGCAAAUGCCUGUAUGCAGUGAAUCGGCAUCUUUAUCACCAUGUAUGGACAAUUAUCAUGAUCAGACGCCCAGCAAAGACACUGAACCCCAAAUGAUGGACAGUAGUGAGAAUAAUUUUCCCUUUAACCAAGGACCACGAAUAAAGACUGAACUUGAGAGUAAUUCUGAAACAAGUACCACCUGUCAAGUACAGCAGCACAUCACAAAACACGGCUUGAAUGAUUCAGGGGCCAGCGAUUCUUCCAGUGAUGCCAACAAAAUCACAUUCAGCCACAUUGGCUCGCCCAGACAUGAGACACAAACAUUUAAUCUACCCGUCAGAAAUCAAGAGAUGUUGACGCAGCAUAGGAUGGAGCUGGCCCAGAUAAGAGAGAGAUUGACAGAUGAAGAGCAAAAGAAGGCUGCAUCUAAAGCUAGAUCCCUAAAGCACAAGCAGAAAGUAUACGGGAAUCCUGAGCUUCGUGAGGCAUACAGGAAAAAGGAGAGAGAGAGAUAUCAAAGACGAAAAUCUCAGGGGAAAGUGAAAUUCGCUAAAGAUCUGAACCCAAUAGAAUUGAGAAGGCAACAGAAAAAGUGGAGGGAGAAUUCAGCCUCUUACAGGAGAAAAAAAUCAUUUCAGGAGGUUUUAGUCAACAUUAAAGAAGACAUUAAUCAAGUCAUCCCAGAGCCAGAGCCGUCCACCUCCUCUGAUCAACAUUAUGGUAUUUUUUAA
rnacentral:lncRNA from 1 species